rnacentral:rRNA from 1 species
GACGAACGCUGGCGGCGUGCUUAACACAUGCAAGUCGAACGGAAAGGCCCUGCUUUUGUGGGGUGCUCGAGUGGCGAACGGGUGAGUAACACGUGAGUAACCUGCCCUUUACUUUGGGAGAACUUCAGGAAACUGGGGCUAAUACCGGAUAGGAGCUCCUGCUGCAUGGUGGGGGUUGGAAAGUUUCGGCGGUUGGGGAUGGACUCGCGGCUUAUCAGCUUGUUGGUGGGGUAGUGGCUUACCAAGGCUUUGACGGGUAGCCGGCCUGAGAGGGUGACCGGCAACAUUGGGACUGAGAUACGGCAGAGACUACUACGGGAGGCAGCAGUGGGGAAUAUUGCACGAUGGGCGGAAGCCUGAUGCAGCAACGCCGCGUGCGGGAUGACGGCCUUCGGGUUGUAAACCGCUUUCGCCUGUGACGAAGCGUGAGUGACGGUAAUGGGUAAAGAAGCACCGGCUAACUACGUG